rnacentral:rRNA from 1 species
CCGAUCUUCCAAUCGAACGUGGAGAUAGCUGGUUCUCCCCGAAAUAGCUUUAGGGCUAGCCUCAGGGAAAAGAUUGCAGGCGGUAGAGCACUGAUCAGGAGAGGGACCUACCCGGUUACCAAACCCAGUCAAACUCCGAAUGGCUGCAAUCAUACCUGGGAGUCAGACUGCGACUAAUAAGGGCCGCAGUCAAAAGGGAAACAGCCCAGACCAUCAGCUAAGGUCCCCAAUGCCGUGCUAAGUGGCGAAGGAUGUGGCAUUUCAUAAACAACCAGGAUGUUGGCUCAGAAGCAGCCACCAUUUAAAGAGUGCGUAAUAGCUCACUGGUCGAGAGACGCUGCGCCGAAAAUGUCCGGGGCUCAAGCACGGAACCGAAGCUAUGGCAUGAUAGCAAUAUCAUGGGUAGGGGAGCGUUCUUAUAAGGAAGAAGCAUGACCGGAAGGACAUGUGGACAAAUAAGAAGUGAGAAUGCCGGUAUGAGUAUCGAAAAGAAAGGUGAGAAUCCUUUCCACCGAAAGCCCGAGGGUUCCUGAGCAACGAUCGUCGACUCAGGGUAAGUCGGGACCUAAGCCGAGGCGGAAAGCGUAGGCGAUGGACAACAGGUUGAAAUUCCUGUACCGGAUCAAGUCGAUUGAGCGAAGGAGCGACGCAGGAGGGCACAUGAUCGCGCGGCUGGAAGAGCGCGUCCAAGUGCGUAUGUUGCAGCAGAGGAAAACCCCUGCAGCUAAAAGCAGAGACAUGAAGGGGAGUUAAAGGAAACUUUGACGAACUCAUGAAUCCCACACUGCCAAGAAAAACUUCUAGCGAGACAAGAUCCGCCCGUACCGUAAACCGACACAGGUAGGCGGGGAGAGAAUCCUAAGGUGCGCGGGAAAACCCUCGUUAAGGAACUCGGCAAAUUGCAUCCGUAACCUAGGGAGAAGGAUGGCCCCCGGUCAGUGAAGAGCAGAAACGCUCAGAGCUAAAAGGGGCGGCAGAAAAGAGGCCCAAGCAACUGUUUACCAAAAACACAGGUGCCUGCGAAAGCGAAAGCUGAAGUAUAGGUGCUGACGCCUGCCCGGUGCCGGAAGGUUAAGGAGAGAAGUUAGCGAAAGCGAAGCAUCGAACUGAAGCCCCGGUGAACGGCGGCCGUAACUAUAACGGUCCUAAGGUAGCGAAAUUCCUUGUCGGGUAAGUUCCGACCCGCAUGAAAGGCGUAAUGAUUUGGGCACUGUCUCAACGAGGGGCCCGGUGAAAUUGAAAUACCUGUGAAGAUGCAGGUUACCCGCGACUGGACAGAAAGACCCCAUGGAGCUUCACUGCAGCUUGAGAUUGAAUCCCGGUGACAGAUGCACAGGAUAGGUGGGAGGCGCCGAAGCAUUGCCCUAGGGCGGUGCGGAGCCGAUGUUGGGAUACCACCCUUCUGUUGCUGAGAUUCUAACGCGAGGAGUAACGACCCUGCGGACCCUCUCAGGCAGGCGGUUUGACUGGGGCGGUCGCCUCCGAAAGAGUAACGGAGGCGCCCAAAGGUUCCCUCAGGCCGGACAGAAACCGGCCGAAGAGUGCAAAGGCAGAAGGGAGCUUGACUGCGAGACCAACAAGUCGAGCAGAGACGAAAGUCGGGCUUAGUGAUCCGGUGGUACUGGGUGGAAAGGCCAUCGCUCAACGGAUAAAAGCUACCCUGGGGAUAACAGGCUAAUCUCUCCCAAGAGUUCAUAUCGACGGGGAGGUUUGGCACCUCGAUGUCGGCUCAUCACAUCCUGGGGCUGGAGUAGGUCCCAAGGGUUGGGCUGUUCGCCCAUUAAAGUGGUACGCGAGCUGGGUUCAAAACGUCGUGAGACAGUUUGGUUCAUAUCCAUCGCGGGCGAAAGAAGUUUGAGAGGAGCUGCUCCUAGUACGAGAGGACCGGAGUGGACGGAUCAACGGUGUCCCAGUUGUCACGCCAGUGGCACGGCUGGAAAGCCGCAUCCGGGAAGGAUAAACGCUGAAAGCAUCUAAGCGCGAAGCCAACCUCAAGAUGAGACUUCUCAUCAGCAAUGAGUAAGACCCCUUACAGACGAUGAGGUAGAUAGGUUAUGAGUGGAAGAGCCGCAAGGCUUGGAGCGACAUAAAACUAAUAGGUCGAGGUCUUAACUUA